rnacentral:rRNA from 1 species
CCAGGAGCUUGCUCUUGGGGAUCAGUGGCGAACGGGUGAGUAACACGUGAGCAACCUGCCCCUGACUCUGGGAUAAGCGCUGGAAACGGCGUCUAAUACUGGAUACGAACCACGAAGGCAUCUUCAGUGGUUGGAAAGAUUUAUUGGUUGGGGAUGGGCUCGCGGCCUAUCAGCUUGUUGGUGAGGUAAUGGCUCACCAAGGCGUCGACGGGUAGCCGGCCUGAGAGGGUGACCGGCCACACUGGGACUGAGACACGGCCCAGACUCCUACGGGAGGCAGCAGUGGGGAAUAUUGCACAAUGGGCGCAAGCCUGAUGCAGCAACGCCGCGUGAGGGAUGACGGCCUUCGGGUUGUAAACCUCUUUUAGCAGGGAAGAAGCGAGAGUGACGGUACCUGCAGAAAAAGCACCGGCUAACUACGUGCCAGCAGCCGCGGUAAUACGUAGGGUGCAAGCGUUAUCCGGAAUUAUUGGGCGUAAAGAGCUCGUAGGCGGUUUGUCGCGUCUGCUGUGAAAUCUGGGGGCUCAACCCCCAGCCUGCAGUGGGUACGGGCAGACUAGAGUGCGGUAGGGGAGAUUGGAAUUCCUGGUGUAGCGGUGGAAUGCGCAGAUAUCACGAGGAACACCGAUGGCGAAAGGCAGAUCUCUGGGCCGUAACUGACGCUGAGGAGCGAAAGGGUGGGGAGCAAACAGGCUUAGAUACCCUGGUAGUCCACCCCGUAAACGUUGGGAACUAGUUGU